GUAUACAUAAUAUAUAUUGUGUAUUUUUCUUCCGUAUUUUUAAGAAUACAUAUUAUACGUAAUAAUUUCAAAUUCGUAUAGGUCAUCAACUCGUACUCGUACGAGUACUUAUGCAGAUCGUGGAAGUCAUGUAGAUGUCAAACAUCGAGAUAGUAACAGAAAUGAAAAUAAUAGAUACAAGCGUGACAGAAGUAGAACUCCACCUACGAGUAACUACUCGAAGAGAAGAAUGGACGAUAGAUCCAACGAUACCACGGAUAGAUCCAAGAAAGAUUAUUCCGAACGAUCGCGCAGAUCAAAUGAUCGCGCGUCAAAUUAUCCUGCUCCUGCUCCAAGAAUGCCUAUGAACUUACCACCAUAUAUCCAUAACUUCAUUAACUACGUCCCUGUUCCUGGAGUACUGCCGCUGAUUAGAGCACCACUGCCAUUCAUCCCACCCAUUGCACAACUACCAUUAAACAUGCCACCGUAUCAGCAGUUUCUGCCACGUGUGCCAAAUAUGAACGCACCGCGACCUCAUCACAAGCCUAAAAAUCAUGCUGCCAAAUAAGAAACAAGCAAGCAUUCAAGUUAACAUUUAUACCUCAUUUUAUUUAGUCUCAGAAGAAUAAUAUUUUACUUUGUCAGGAUUUUUAUUGUCAUUUUAAUACGUAUCGUAUAUACGUAUAUACGUAUAUUUUAAUAUGAGACAUAUACACAUGUUUUAAAUUGUGAGUAGAGUAACAAAUAAGACUUUUGCGACAUUGACUUAUUAAGAAUAAACAUUUUUAGAGAGUCUAAGAGACUUGACUAUAUUCUAUUAUAUCAGUAAAAUAGCUUUAGUAUACUUCAAUUUGCGCAUGUGUGAAUUAUAUCAAUACUGUAUUCUUUAAUCAAAUAAAUAUUUUUCUCGCUAUUCAAUAUUCGCGAGAAUAAAAAAAUGUAAAUAUAAAAGUAAACUGUGAACACAUCCUGCGUUAUAUUAAGAGCGAAUGUUGAAGAGUGGGGCUCGUACGUAUCGUUGUUUUGUGUCUCAGUCUCCUGCUUGUGCAUGUGCAGCUGUCAAAGUCAAGAUUAAAUUAACGAUGUAAAUAAACAGCGCUAAUGUCUCUUAGGAUUAAGCCGGAAACACACGACAAAAUUUAAGCAGUAAACUUGAAUAUUGAGGAAAUCAACCAAUCACAAGCCGGUAUUCUUUUGAAGAUAGUUUACGUUUGAGACAGUACUGAUUUGCGAUUGGUUUAAAACUAAAGUUUUAUUGAUUCUGGCAGUUUCUGGCUUCAUCCUAUCUUUUUUUUCCUUUUUAUCCCAUUGUUUUUUAAAAUGAAUAUAAAUUAUAUUAUGCGUCUUUGUCUGCUUUAUAAAAAUGAUUAUAAAUACGUUAUAAAACUCAAACCGAUUGAUGACGUUUUUGAUGGCGCUAUGUCCACUGUGAGACGCUUUAUGUGAGAAGUGUCACGUACAUCUCGAGAUAUGUUGUGAUUACAAUACGCACGGAUAGAAGACAGAAAGCAAAUACAGUUUUGCAAUUAGUAUCGUAUUUCUGUGUGUACUUCCACGUUAUCUUCCGCGAGAAAAGAUGUGGAUCUACUUUGCACUCGUUAUUUUGGGCAUAUUUGACUCCGCAAUGGCCUCCGAUGGUUUUGAUCUCGGCGACACCUUGGCGUUAAUGCUUGGCUUAACCAUCGGAAUUAUUGGAUUCUUCGCUUGCUUGGGAGCUUACGCAAGGAGGAGAAAUAAUUUUGAAUCUUUGUAAACUGAUCUGUUAAAUAUUUCUAACUGGAAAUAUAAAUUAUAGAAGCAAGGCAGGUUUGAUACAGGAGGAAGAUAAUAUAAAAAAAAAAAAAUGUACAUAUACACACAUGGAAAACUUUAAAAAGACAGUAGAAACACUUUAUUAGAAUGUGUAAUAAAAUAAAUUUUAUUGACUUUA